CUUUGAAUUAAUUUUGAUGAAAAGUGUAAGUUUACCCAAUGGGAAGAUGAUGAGGAUGAAGACCUUUACAAUGAUCCACUUCCUCUUAACAAAUACAGCACAAGAAUGGAAUAGUACAGUGGCUACGAACACAGAAACCACACUCCAGGCCCAGUCCCCGGCAGUGGCCUCCAGGACCCACUCUGAGCUAGAUCACAUCAGUGAUGGGCUGGCCAAUCUUUAAGGAGAAUGACUCUACUCUUAGGAAGCCAGCAGGUUGGAGGAGGAAACACAUUCAAAUCCCGAGCACAAGGAGCUGGGAGAAGACCGGUUAUGGGAGCGGCAUUCCUGGAAGCUCUGAAGUCACAGCCCCACUGAUGAAAGGAUGUAAGAACCUAAGAGUGGAAACCUGCCCCUGGGAUUCAUAUGGUGUCCCCUCAGGACUCAAACCCUGGUCUGGUAUGCUCAGUAAAUGAAUGAAUAUACCCACUACACCCCAGGUUAUUUUUUUUCUGAAGACAUCGUUUGACACAGAGGGAACACUGUAGAUAAGAAGCCCAACCCUGUUAGAAAGCAGAAGGGUUUGUUUGGGAAAAGGAAACAAAAUAUAUUUUUAAGCUCCAUAAACAUAUGAUGAAUGCUAACAAGGUAUUUUCAAAAUAAGAAGCACAUAGAAACAGCUUAUGUUUCUGGUCAAAUGAAGUUGUAAUCAAAUCGUUAUCAAAGCAAAAAAAAAGAGAGGAAGAAAUCAAAAUGAGUCAGAAGAGUUUUUGGAAAGAUUCAGCAACUUAACUGACUUGAAGAGAUUUCCCUUGUCUCAGUCUUACUGCUGCUUCUAGGGGAACACAGUUUUGCACGGGAAUCGAGGCCAACUUGCAACCCACAGGCACUCUGGAGGAACAAAGAAAGUAUCGCCUGCAACUCACCACGGUCUCUCUCUCUUAAGCCCUUGCUCUUGCCAGAAGAAGUUUCACACAAAGGUUUGCCUGCGAGGCUGCGCUUUCCUCUCCAGAUCAGCAGAAACAACUUACCAGCAGAAAUACUUAAUGACGGAGCCAAGACUGGCACAGCCACGCGGUCACAGCUUUGUUCCCAAGAAGCAAGCCAAUUAGCAGCCCUGGUUAUUAUUUACAUUUCCCGCAAUAUAUCACUAAAAUUGUGUUGAUGAUUUAUCAUUUAUAUUAUGUUAUUGUCAGCAUAAUUUAUUCAGAUCAUGCUGAGAUACCUGGAAAAUUAAGUAAAAGAAAAAGAAGUGGCAUUGAAUUCAUCGGGUUUGAAAGAUAUUUCUCAGCUUCUUUUUUCUCUCCCUCUCUUUCUCUCUCUCUCUCUCUUUUAAUGAGGAUAGAUGUUAAGAAAAAUCAUGGAUCACUUAGCUAUUAAAUUGUUCCAGGAUCAUCUGCAUUAAAAGUUUGCUCAGUAUUCUUUUGUGAGAGAACAUGGCUUGGGCGUUCAUUUGGAUUUUCUUCUGGAACCUUUUCUUUCAGUCUAUUAUUUCAAAGUAAAAAAAAAAGGAAAUGCAAUCCUCUUUAGUUUAGAGCAAAGCAGAGUGGAUUAAUGAGGGGCUGGAGGCUUCUCUUCCAAUUUAUAAAACAUCCUUAUCUUCUGCCUUAUAUUCUAUUUGCCCCACCCUCUGGGAAAUAAUUGUUGCUUAUCAGAAUUAGAGAUAAAAUAUUCCAGUUGUUGAAGCCAUUCAUCAUCUAGGCAUUCUAGAAAAGCAGUUACUGAACUAGAGGCAGCAUUUUGAGCAUCAGAGCUCUGGGUUCUAGUCCCAGGUCUGUCCAGGCUUUGUGUGAUUCCAGGAGUCACUGAAGCUAUCCUGCUUCUGUUUCCCCAGCAGUGGGAUUCAUGGAUGUCCAGGAUCAGGCUUGCUGGGUCUGCCCCAGGUCUUCAGAAUCAGACUGCCUGGGGAAGGCACAUGGAGGUCUUUUUGACAGGUGUCAUAGGUGAUACUUCUACACACUUCAGUUAGAAAAGUCAUUGGGCUUACAUAUGCCUGCAGCCACUUCCAGCUCCAGUCUUCCUAGAGUUCUACGGACUCUAAUUAUAUGGCAUGUUUUGCAUAUUUCUGAAACUUCAUAUGGGAAACAAACUUUUGGAAAUUGAUUCAUUUAAGAAUCUGUGGCCAGGCGUGGUGGCUCACGACUGUAAUCCCAGCACUUUGGGAGGCUGA
rnacentral:lncRNA from 1 species